GCCUUGGGGGUGUCUGGGGGCGGUGAGGCCGGGGCCGGUCCUCCACAUCCAAGCGAAGAUGGUGAAGGUGACCAGGCCCGGGGAAGCCCAGAGAGGUGCGGCACCGGCUUUGGUCAGGGCGCACCGUGAUCCCAGCAAGAGGCAGGGGUGUACACGGGCCUUUUGAAACCCCUUUUAGACUAAAAUGUUCUCGCGAUGUGGAAAGUGAGGAGUCAUCGCGUUGUGCCAAAAUCUUAAGCCAGUCUGCACCAGUGGCCGUGCUCUAUUCUGGCACGAGCAGCUGAUUUGGGACUACUAAAAUUUAUCCGCACACGUCUGAAGCUUUUAAACAGCUGGAAUGUCACACAGUCGUCAUAGGCACGGAACAAGCCUUCAAAUUUUUCCUGCAAAUGAAAAAGAAUAAUGCUGAAGAUUAACUUUGUGUUGUGUCCCAUUAGAUCCGUGUCGAAACAUGAUCUGAAACUUGAUGACAGUUGUUUAAGCAGUAGUUUUCAGUUUAUGGUCCUUGUGGAGUGGAUGACCAUAGACUAAUAAGGCUCUGUGAAAAGAAACUAAGGCAAGCACUGGUGGGAAAGUGCUGAACUCUGGAAAAUGUUUGAGUAUUCAAACUGAAAACGCAUCAGCUUCUCACAAAAGUUCAGCAAAAUUGUGAUGGUGACUUACAAAGUGAAAAUGCAAAAGGCACAUGACUGAAAAUACCAGACCACUGUGGUCUCAUCCACACAAAAGCACGCAUUGCACUGAAUCACAGUAGAGGAAGCAGACAAAGCCUUGCCCAUUGCAACUCAGGGCUGCAUUCACAAAGGGGGUGAACAGCAACAUUGCAGGGUUAUUCUGUGUCACGGGUAAGGUUUUCUGGACAUUUUGUCAUUUAAAUACUUAGAGCAGAUAUAUAUCAAUUUCUUGUGACUGUAGCAGAAGGGAAAUAAACAACAAAAAACAGAUAACUGUAAACAGUGACCUGUCCCAAAGAGAAAUUUCAGGCUUAAAACUUUUUAGUUAUGGACCUCCAUGUUCAAAAGGGGAUGACAUAAAUAAGGUUAUUUUAACAUUGUAAAGGAAAGGUCUAAAAAUAUACCAGAUCUAUGGAUCUACUGAAACAAAAUGAAUAGAAAUUCAAGGUAUGUUAGCACCUGGAGCAUCACUCUCUCUGUAAUUUUUCUAUAACCUGUGUACACACAGAGGAUUAGUUCCGCACCAUCAAAUGAAACCAAAGUCCUUAAAUCAACUCUGACACGCAUGCAUAGGUCUCUCCAUUCACAUGGCCACAGAUUCAUAAAACGUGAAGCCCAAAAGUGACACAUACAGACUUAUUGUUUUUAACUACUGCGACCAAGACCUGAAGUUAUAGAGGAUGGAAAAUGAGCCGGAGUAAAGCACCUUUCUUUUUUUAGCUAUCUCUGAAAAAAAGCCAGUAUUUAAAAUGAUUGGCCACACCAUUUUGUACAUUGAAGGCUAUCACAUCAGGCUGAGAAGUUAGUAUAAUUACGCAAUAGCCUGACAUUUGCUUUUAUACAUCUGCAAGUUAAGAAUUUUAAAAUGUAGCUUCUUUAGUUCUCAUGGAAGAAGGCAAUUUUUUAUCCCUUAGAGUGGAUGAAAGUCAAUUUACAUAAUCUAAUCAAUACUUCAGUUGUCAUCUGUUGAUCUUACAAGUGGGGUGAGGAAUGCAGAACUUCUUCAAAAAAAUAUUCCCUGAAGAACAGUGAAGAGAUAUCAAGGAGCACUAACAGCACUGCAAGAGUCCCUGUCAGCAUUACAUGCUUGUUAAAGAGUUAACUAGAAAAACAGACCAGUUUCAUGGCAAGGACUACGACACACUGCAAUGCGCAUGUACCAGCCGGAUCUCCUUCGCUGCCAACUCUGCGGUCUUCUUCCCUGUAACUACUAUUCCAUCUCUGGCACCCUCACAAAAGAACCUCCCUGUGGUCUACUAAGCUUUCAUGAUUUUCAUUUCAUUUUGCCUGACCUCACUCACCUCCUCCUCUUACCACAGGGUAUAUGUUAGAGGAAAAAAACAAAGGAGAUAGUUCAGUGGCUUGGUUGAGGGUGAAUAAAGGCACACAGUAAUCUCACAAACAGCAUGAAGUUGAUAGGUUUGUACACGCAGGUCUAGUCAUACCGUCUAAACAUUCAAAACAUUCAGUAUUUCACACCGAAGAUCUGGGUUUUUUUUAACUGCUUACAGCUUUGCAAAAUUGUAUUUCCUGAGCAGGAGUCUACCUCAAGUGGCAUUUGCACAAAGGUCAGCCAAAAGCAGCAGUUGGCAUCACUCCUGUCAUGCCUGGGUUUUUGAUCCUACAACCUUCACAAUGAGCAGAGGGAGAGGGUAGGGGGAUGGGAGAGAAAAGGACAGGGGACCAGCACAUAUGUAAAAUAAGACUUAUGUACCAGUCAAAAAUAGGUAGCACUGUUUAUAAUCUAAGGAACAGAUCAUAUUGACUACCUAAUUAAAGCUUGUAUCUUAAAGUUACCUAUAUUAACUAUUUCAGACUUCACUUUUUUUUUAAAGCAUGUUAAAAUAAACAAGCUUAUUUGUAUACAGCACAAUCAAUGCAUUUUAACAGAGGUCACGCAUUGGCUAAAAAUAAGCAGCAAGGCGAACAUUUCAUAGCCUGCUGUAGUACCUCUUUCAGUCCCCCCGCAUCAACAAUGAAAUCAUACAUCGUGUAAAAAAUAUCUGAUCAGCCAUGGAAUGAAUUCUGCCUGGACUUGUCUGGACACUGGGAAUUAUCCAUUCCAGCUAAUUAUUCAUUAGGGAACAGAUUCUCUCUAAAUCAACACAGCAGUACUUACUUUCGUUGGCCCGUCUUACGUGUCCGCCUUCUUCUCGUACACCAUGAUUAGGGCCACCGCGGGGUGCCACAGCGCAAAACCAGGGCAGAUGCAAUUAUUAAAAGAGGGUCCAAGAACAGUGAGCACAAAGAAUGUUUUUGGGCACAUUUCUGAACAAUACUGAGAGGUACUCUCAUUAGGCACUGAAAGGACAGAUGGGAAUAUCUCUAAAUAAAGCUGAUUAAGUAGUGGACACCAAAUGUAAUACUGGGAGAUCAUUAAAGCACUGAGGGCUUUAUUUUGCUUACUUUCCGAUUUGAUACUAGCACAGCUUUAGAGAUCCAGCUUUGAUUAGCACUGCUAAAAAUGUCAGGGAAAAAAGAAACCUCAGAGCCCUAUGUUUGGUAUUAAUAUAGGGCAUUCUGUCCACAGUGGGCUCACAUCUACUGUGCCAACUGAAACCGCAUUUCCCAUUAAAAAAACUCAUACCUCUGAGUUCUCCGUUUUCAGCUGAUAACAAUAGUGACCUUAGCAGACGCCAUUAAUCAUCAACCACAGCUAAUGGCCCUCAGCAUCUUGAGCCGUCACAGCUCCUCCCAGCUUGAUAUUAAUUCCCAAGAAAUGCCUUAUGCCUUAAUUGCUGUUGCCUCUGAUAUGCGCUGAAUGUACUUAUCUGGGUAAAAGUCUUUUAGAGCCAUUCCGAUCUCUAAGAAAAUGUAUCAUGUACGUUUUAAAGAGCUUUGCAAAUUCUCUCUCCUUCCAGUUUUUGUGGAUAAAUAAUUCAAGAUUCAUAAUCAUCUCAAUUCAGGAUUUAUUUUUAAAUGCUUUUAAAGAAUAAGUUCCUUAACUUUCAGAAUAUUUUUAGACCCACUGAAAAAAUAAAAGAACUUUCUAAGCUAAGCAGCACUAUUGCUAAUCCUCAAGUAAAAUCUGACUCAAAAUGCAGAAAGUUACGGGAGUUAUGCAUUUAUUUCUUAGAUUUUCCAUGUCUUUAUGCAUCCUAAGUACAUGCCUCUGAGACCCAAUUAAUGUUGCUAACUGACAAAUUUGAGCUGCGUUAUUUUGACCCAUACUGCAAGAAUUCUCACGCCUCUCUUCUGGACUUUGUCCCCUCUCCAUCAUGCUACUCCUCCACCCCUCACAAAGCACCUUUCCCCGACACCAACACCAAUUCUUCCCCAAGGAUCUUUUCCGUCACCUCACAUCAGCUCCCAUAUCCUAGCAUUCACCACCUCUAGCAGUUUCUUCUUUUUAUUUUAAUUUCAUUUUAUUAGCACAAUGUAGGAAUAUACUAAUUAAGGCUGCUGAUUACUCAAGCUCGGUUGUUAUCACUCCCGACAAUUAAUGCAGAGGACGAACCUAGUACCGUCCAAGGAAGAACUGAGCUCUGGACUAAGAGACCCACAUUAAGAGCUUCAUAGCACAAAGAGCAAAGCUAUGUACUCAUAGACUAAAAACUACUUCUGCUACUAAACAGGAGCUCACCUGGGGAACCAAGAUAAAGAGAAGCUGUGGGCAAGUCACAGGAUAAAAGUGAUCAGCGAAAUGCUACCAUAAGAAGGCAAACAUAAUAUUGGAUGUUAUCUGGAAAGGUAUUUCCAGUAAAGCAAGGAAAGUAUUAACAACAUUACACAAAGCACUAUUACACCUCUUUGAAAUACAGUUUUUGGUGCCUGCCUCCCAGAAAGAUUAAGCCAAAUGGGAACAGGUUCAAAUUAAAGCUACUAAGAUAAAAGGAAUGAACAGCUUACUGAAGGAGAAGAAAUUAAAAUUCUUGGCUUAUUUAGCAAAGCAAAGACUGAGAGGAGACAUGACUGUCAUCACUAGUUUAGAGCAGGAUAAAGAAUAAAGAAAAAGCUAUUUAAACCAGAAGACUAUGUUGGCAUAAAACAAAUGGAAACAAGUGGGCAUGAAUAGGGCUUAAGCUGGAAGUUAGAAAAAGGUUUCAAACCUCAGAGUGAUGACUCAGAAACAGCCCUGCAAUUACAGCAGUGGUGGCAAAUGAUUUUUUAAAGAUUGAAUUUGGUUAGUUCAUGUAAGGAACUAUGACAAAGUAUUGCCACAACAAGCAUUGUAAAACAUGACUGCCUGAAUUAGCAAGCAAAUUGGGUUCUGACAGAGCAAGUUCCCUCCAGUUCUGUGUUACGAUGACUUAUUUCCAAACAUUUCUUUCAUGAAUAGCUCCACUGGUAUUGUGUUCAUUCAGGACAAAAGCCAAGGCCUAAUUCAAAGCAAUGGAAGUCUCUCCACAGAUACCAGUGAGCUUUGGAUUAGAGCCCUAGAACUCAAAACACAAAUUACAUUUUAUUAUUCAGUAUGUUUACACUCAUUAUCACCCUUGUUCCACAUCAGAUUUAGGAGAUGACUGUGAUUUAAAACUUUAGUCUAAUCCUGUUUCCUAGAUUUUUGGUAAGAAAAUAAAGCAAACAUUUUUUUCCACCUCCAUGUUUCCUGUUCUUGUAAAGAAACCAAAAAUCCACACAAAUAAAUAACUGCAUGCAAUAAGAAAACCAAGAUAUAAUUUACAAUUAGGAAAUAUGUCUUACUUGAAAUGAAUUCUAUACUUUCGGUAUAAAUUUCUAUAACAAUCAAAUAGACUGAAGUCCUGGAGUCCAGCAUCCUUUCUGUUUCCACACAGCUACAGCAUUAGAUGAAUGAGGAAAUCUGACAGUACGUAAAGACACCACUGCACUUAAGAGUCUAGUGACAAAAAAAUCCUACCAACAGAUCAGUUCCCCAGUUUACAGCAAUGAGGACAACCUGGGCAUUACUGGUUAAUCCUAGGGUGAUGACUGAAUCACAAUAGUGGCACAGGUGCAAGAAAGAUAUACACGAUCUUAGAAAAUACCAGUGGAAGUCAUUUCAAGACUGGGGUUUGUUAAUGCCACACAGAAGGUACUCUAAUGACCUAGUCUAGAUAUAGAGCAUGGCUCUGGUCAUCCAGGGUUAAGAAAGAUGGAGACAAUUUGGAAGAGGACCAGGGGAGGACUGCAAGGAUGAAAAAAGGGCAAGCCUAUCACAGGAGAUAAAAGUGGAAGAACUCUCCUUGGGAAACAAAAGCUAAGGUAGGAUGUGUUUCUUGCUGUAUCUAAAUAUAAGCUGUUACUAAAUAUAAGGAAAUCAGUAAAUGUUGCGCUGGGAAAGGAAUUGUCUAUAUUAAAAAAGAAAGUUUCGAGGUUGGACUUACAAUGUCAGGUUAAAAAAAAGUAUUAAAUUUUGCUCACUUUGGUUAAAUCAAGACCAAUUUGCUUACACUACUGCAAUCUUAUUAACGUUAAUAUAAUGCUAAUGUACUAAUCCCGACUAUGCAAUUGAAAAGAAUAAACACUCUGUAUUUCA